AUUCAGCAGUACACAUUGUCAUGUGUGUUCAGUUGAAGUUAAGCGUUUCCAAAAGUAAUCCACGAUCCCAACGUUAAGAUGAAAUUACAAAUUGUGUUCAUGUUCUCUUUGGCUCUAAUUAUGUCGUCAGUAGAAGCUCAAUCACCGAGAUGGACAGGACUGAAAUGUGGGAUAGAUAACCAGCAAUUGUACGACCGCACCAAGGGUGCAGAUACUUGCAGAAUAUAUUGCAGUACAAAUUCAGGCCGAGGUCUAUGGACCGGAUCAUGUGAAUUAAAUAGCAUCGGUUACGGAGAAUGUGUGUGUAUCUUCAUCCGUCCGUAAAUGUUGCUGUUCGUAAAUGAUAAAUUAUACCAUUUUCAAAUGCGAAAA